UUUCUUGUUGACUCUACUCUGACUUAGGGCA
rnacentral:piRNA from 1 species